AAAUCUUAAAAAAAAAAAUAGAGUCACUCCUGUAGUCUCUUACCCAUAAAACAGUCAGUUCACACUUGAUGGUCCUGGAUACUCAGUUGGCAUCACUGCCAACUGAGGCAGACACCCUCAUGCCUUUCCUCAGACCAUGACUCCACCUGGAAUAUGCUGCUUUUCAUAUGUGCCAAUUCUGCUUCCUUCAAGUUCUAGCAUAAAUGCUAACUGCUUUAUAAGACCAUGAUUUGAGGAAAGACCACAGGUUUUGGAGUCAUUUAAAUUUGGAUUUAAAUCCCAGCUUGGUACCUAAUUGUAGUGUGAACUUUUGGGGCCUAAUUUCUUUCCUUCUUGGUAGAACAGGAAAUCAUAGUACUGUCUUACAGGGGAUUUGUAAGUGUUUAGAGAUGAAAGGUAUAUAAAGUGCUGAGUAAAAUGUCUGGCCCAUAAUAUGUUCUAAAUUCUAGUAAGUGGUGAACAUUAUUUUCCUAUUUUCUUUUCUGAUCUCCCUAGCCUCUCUCUCUGUGACGGGGGCAUUAGAAUUUCUACUUGCCUCAGCCUUCCUCCUUUAGCUUUAUUUGUUUAUCUGAAAAAUUCACUAAGGUGGAAUAGGUUCUACUCUGAUUAUACAGGAUCACCGAACAUACAAUCAAAGCCUAUUUUAACAGCUUCCCAGGAAGAUGUUAAUCCUGUUCCCCAGUAUAAAUGUUAAUAAGGAUUUUCACUCUAGAAUGAAUUGUUAGUCUUUAUAGUCAAAAUGGUUCUGACCAUGUGGAUAUUAGGGUGGUGGGAAAGGUCAACGGAUGAUCUGCAGUUCCUUCCGUGGUGAAUACAUAAAUAAUUGAUUCUUAGGUAGAUAACUAGAGCUAUUUGCUGAGGCUGCUGUUUAUACUUCUGCUGUCUUCAGUGUUUUGAAUGAAACUGUGAGUUUCCAUAUCUCAGGAUUUCUCUAAUUUAUGCAAUAUGUGUACAGUAUGGACAUUGAGUUGUAAGCAUAUAUAGGUUUGUUGCAUUACUUAAAAGUCAGGCAGAGGAGAAAGCCGCUUUUGGGUUGAGCUGCCAGUCGUCCACGAGGUUCUCUGAGUUUGCUCCCAAGCGCAUCUGCAAUUUAAAAUGUCUCACCCAUCCCCCCAAACUAAGCUCUCCAACCCCAGUAACCCCAGAGUCUUAUUUGAUGUGGACAUCGGAGGGGAUUGAGUUUGUCGAAUUGUCUUAGAAUUGUUUGCAGAUAGUGUACCCAAAACUGCAGAAAAUUUUCAUGCAGAGUGUUUACAGGAGAAAAAGGCAUUGGACCCACAACUGGGAAACCUCUCCAUUUCAAAAGAUGCCCUUUCCAUCAAAUUAUUAAGGAAUUUAUGAUUCUGGGUGGAGACUUCUCAAAUCAAAAUGGGACAGGUGGAGAAAGUAUUUAUGGUGAAAAAUUUGACAAUGAAAAUUGCUAUUAUAAGCAUGAUCAGGAACGUUUAUUGAGCAUGGCAAAUGCAGGCUGCAAUACAAAUGGUUCUCAAUUCUUUAUCACAACAGUCCUGACUCCUCACUUGGAUGGGAAACAUGUGGUAUUUGGCCAAGUAAUUAAAGGAAUGGGUAUGGCAAGGAUACUGGAAAAUGUACAAGUGAAAGGUGAAAAACCUGCCAAAUUGUGUGUUAUUGCAGAAUGCAGAGAAUUGAAGGAAGGGGAUAAUUGGGGCAUAUUCCCAAAAGAUGGCUCUGGUGACAGUCAUCCAGACUUCCCUGAGGAUGCAGAUAUAGAUUUAAAAGAUGUAAAUAAAAUUUUACUAAUAACAGAAGAUGUAAAAAAUAUUGGAAAUAUUUUUUUCAAAUCUCAGAACUGGGAGAUGGCCAUUAAAAAAUAUACAAAAGUUUUAAGAUAUGUGGAAGGUUCAAAGGCCAUUAUUGAGCAAGCAGAUAGAUCGAAGCUGCAACCUACAGUUUUAAGCUGCGUGCUGAAUAUUGGUGCUUGUAAACUGAAGAUGUCAAAUUGGCAGGGAGCAAUCGACAGUUGUUUGGAGGCUCUUGGAAUAGACCCAUCCAAUACCAAAGCAUUGUACCGUAGAGCUCAAGGACGGCAAGGAUUAAAAGAAUACGAUCAAGCAUUGGCUGAUCUUAAGAAAGCUCAGGAGAUAGCACCUGAAGAUAAAGCUAUCCAGGCAGAAUUGCUGAAAGUCACACAAAAGAUAAAAGCACAAAAAGAUAAAGAGAAGGCAGCGUAUGCAAAAAUAUUUGCCUAGUAAGAAGUUCGCUUUUACUUAAAUAUGCAUUGAUUGUUAUAUAAAGGGAAUAAGAAAAUUUAAAGGUUUUUGUCCGUUAUAUAUAAUCCCUGAUGUGUUUCCUUUGAUACUUCAGUUUCCCAUUGUUUACAGUUUAGGAAUACUGAAAAGAGUUCACUCUUAAUAAAACAGUGUUACAAAAAAAAAAAAAAA